rnacentral:rRNA from 1 species
UACGAGGGGGGCAAAUGUUGUUCGGAAUCACUGGGCGUAAAGGGAGCGUAGGCGGGUUUCUAAGUCAGGUGUUUAAUCCCGGGGCCCAACCCCGGACAGGCACUUGAAACUGGGAAUCUUGAAUAGUGGAGAGGUCAGUGGAAUUGGGGGUGUAGCGGUGGAAUGCGUAGAGAUCCCCAAGAACACCAGUUGCGAAGGCGGCUGACUGGACACAUAUUGACGCUGAGGUGCGAAAGCGUGGGGGAGCAAACAGGAUUAGAAACCCU